rnacentral:tRNA from 1 species
GUCAGGAUGGCCGAGCGGUCUAAGGCGCUGCGUUCAGGUCGCAGUCUCCUCUGGAGGCGUGGGUUUGAAUCCCACUUUUGACG